CGCCGCCUCCGCUGGCCGCCGGCCGUCGCCGCCGCCGCCCCUGCCUCCGCGGCUCACUACGGCGACACUCCACAUCCGGCAGGUAUAGUUUUCCUUCCUUUCUCCUUCCUCCCUCCACCCUCCUCCCUCUGUCCUCCCUCAUCCCGUGGCGGUGGCCGGCCGGCGGUCCGAUGGCUCCGGCACCGGUGCACCGGCCCUUCUCCUCCUUACUCCUACCUCCCUCCUCGGCUCCUCCCUUCCUUUGCCCCCUAUGGUGGAGGUCAGGCCGUCCCAUGCCUCCUCAAUCUGGUAUCCGUGAGGGACGGGGCAGGUUCGGCCGUCCGGCGGCGCCGAUGCCGGUGAACUGGGACUCCUUCCUCCUCUCUCCUCCCUCCACCCUCCAUCACUCGUCCCCAUCCAUCCUCUUCCAAAAAAAUUUAUCUGUUCAUGCAUAUAUAUUUUUCUGUUUUUUUGUGAUGUGAUGAUUAAUAGCCAUAGAUUGUAAUCUGUUAUUACAGUAUCAUUAGUACUUGCUGCAUAUUGCUACUCUCUAUGCAUUUUCAAGAUUAUGUAUGAAUGGAUUAGCCAGCAAUGGCCCAAUUUUGUCAUGGUUUAUGUCUUGUGCUACAUAAUUGCUUGAUGCACAUAUUGAGCUGUCAUUGGCCAGCAGUGCCACAUUAAAGUUUUUGAUAGAUGUGAUGCCGAUGAUGAGUAUGUACUUCCAGUGCUACGACGGGAGGUGGCAUGAACACAAGCAGAUCCGGUUGAAGAUGAGGAGAACGAAUAUAGCAUGGCAAUAUUCGUAGUAGGACAGCUCAUGCUUGUCUAGCGAUGGCAACAUAAGUUUAGCUAUGUCGAUGGAGGUCAUCAUCAUGUGAACCAUACAUGUCUUGUAUGGUGCAUGUCUUUGUAAUAAUAUUAUGGGAGCAUUAUCUAUAUAAAUGUAUGCAACAUCAAAGUAUAGUUGUUCAAUUGUGUAUGUGUUACUAUAAAUUGCUUACAUUGUCAUAUUUUUUUUCUAUGUCAAAUGAUCGUCCAAUUCCCUA
rnacentral:lncRNA from 1 species